rnacentral:misc_RNA from 1 species
GCCCUGAAACAACAAAUCCUUCAGGAUGGUGCACAUAAAUCUCCUCCUGAAGCAAGCCAUUUAGGAAUGUGGACUUGACAUCAAAAGGCCAACGACCCAGAAACAAGAGCAAGUGAAACAAAAUCAGAAAACAAAGAAUUACAACAGACUUUCUCAUAGAAUGGAACUUUCCUCUUUCUUCUUCUAUUCUAUUCCUUCAUUAAGAGCUUUUCCUGAUACAUAUAAAAAAUAACAUUAGCUCUUCUAAGAGUUCCAAAUUUUUCAUCCAAACUAAGCAUAACCACACUUUUCAAUUGAUAAAUGAUUAAUUUAUCUUGACAUGACACCACUAACUAAACAAGAAUCUUCUACUUCUUCCACUUAAGCCAAAAACAAAAUGCACUAUUAACUUCUAAUUAAAUCUAGAACCCUCCUAAGAAAAAUCUCAAUCUCUACAAUGGCCAUUGCAGUUUGACUUUCAUUAGAAUGAUAUUAGAUUGGUUAUGGUUGAAUGUUUUGGUCUAUUAUAUGUGCAUAUAAUAGGUGCCCGUGCGAAUGCGUGAUUCUUGUGAAAGAACGGAAGCGUGAAAAACACAAGAUUAUACCAUUGAAUUCAAAAAUUU